GCCGAUGGAAAAUGUUCCGGGGACAAAUCAUCGUAAAUUUAUUGAGUGAAGUUCACUUCAGCAAGAAUUCCAAUUAAACAAACGUACAAUGAAAACUUUUCCAUUUUUUAUCGUUGCGGUUUUGAUUACCUGUGUGACUGCAACGUCUGACGAAAGUUCAAGCUCUACUGAAGAGAACGAUGAUAGUUUUUCUUCGUCGGACGAAAGUGUAAGCAGUUCAUCUUCCGUUGAAUCAACGGAGUGCAAAAUAAAUUACCAAUAUACAAUCUGGAUCGGUGAUAAUGUGGAGGAGAUGCAUUCUAUCAAUCUGAACUCUGAAUGUGGAAUUGUGUUUUUGAAUGCAAUGCAACAGGCAUCACAAAGGAGGGAACAAUUUAAAUUUGAAUACACCACUCAUCCACUUUUUGGAACUUUAAUAACUGAAAUAGACGGUGUGCCUAACGAUGAUGAGACGAACACGUACUGGAUGUUAUACGAUUUGACUACAGAACCGGAUGUCGCCAAUGCACCAGAUGAUAAUUUUUUGUCCACGAUGGUUGUGAGCUCACUCAAAGUUGUCGAUAAUCAUUCGUAUCUAUUUUGGUAUAAAACAUCCAAUACUGAAGCUCAUGUCGAGCAAUCGGAGGAUUUAUCAUAUUAUGAUGAUUGAAAAAUACUAAGGAACAAUAAAAUUGUCUAUGUCUAGUCGAUGAACACAUCAAA